rnacentral:rRNA from 1 species
GAUGAACGCUGGCGGCGUGCUUAAUACAUGCAAGUCGAACGAGGACAAAUAGAUCUUCGGAUUUAUGAAAUCCUAGUGGCGAACGGGUGAGUAACGCGUUGGUGACCUGCCCCGAAGAGGGGGAUAACAGUUCGAAAGGACUGCUAAUACCCCAUAAGCUCACGAGAGUUAGAGGUCUAGUGAGAAAAGGAGUAAUCCGCUUCGGGAGGGGCCUGCGUCCCAUCAGCUAGUUGGUAGGGUAAAAGCCUACCAAGGCGAUGACGGGUAGGGGACCUGAGAGGGUGGCCCCCCACAAUGGAACUGAAACACGGUCCAUACACCUACGGGUGGCAGCAGUAGGGAAUAUUGCUUAAUGGGCGA